UACAGGGGGGGCAAGCGUUGUUCGGAAUUACUGGGCGUAAAGCGCGUGUAGGCGGCUUGGCAAGUCGGGUGUGAAAGCCCUGGGCUCAACCUAGGAAGUGCACUCGAAACUGCCUCGCUGGGGUGCCGGAGAGGAAAGCGGAAUUCUCGGUGUAGAGGUGAAAUUCGUAGAUAUCGAGAGGAACACCGGUGGCGAAGGCGGCUUUCUGGACGGUUACUGACGCUGAGACGCGAAAGCGUGGGGAGCAAACAGG
rnacentral:rRNA from 1 species